rnacentral:sRNA from 1 species
AAGCUCUCUUCCCCUUGUCCAUAGCCUAGAUCGAGCUCCCUGUGUGCACCGCGCGCUGCCCGAGGCGCGUGUGCUACAUUGAGGGUCAUCGGGUAAUUAAUCUGGCCAAUGAGAUGUUUGGUUACAAUGGCUGGGCACACUCCAUCACGCAGCAGAAUGUGGAUUUUGUUGACCUCAACAAUGGCAAGUUCUACGUGGGAGUCUGUGCAUUUGUGAGGGUCCAGCUGAAGGACGGUUCAUAUCAUGAAGAUGUUGGUUAUGGUGUCAGUGAGGGCCUCAAGUCUAAGGCUUUGUCUCUGGAGAAGGCGAGGAAGGAGGCGGUGACCGACGGGCUGAAGCGAGCCCUCAGGAGUUUUGGGAACGCACUUGGAAACUGUAUUCUGGACAAAGACUACCUGAGGUCACUAAAUAAGCUUCCACGCCAGUUGCCUCUUGAAGUGGAUUUAACUAAAGCGAAGAGACAAGAUUUUGAACCGUCUGUGGAAGAGGCAAGAUAUAACAGCUGCCGACCGAACAUGGCCCUGGGACACCCACAACGACA